UACGUAGGGUGCAAGCGUUGUCCGGAAUUAUUGGGCGUAAAGAGCUCGUAGGCGGUCUGUUGCGUCGGCUGUGAAAACCCGGGGCUCAACUCCGGGCCUGCAGCCGAUACGGGCAGACUAGAGUUCGGCAGGGGAGACUGGAAUUCCUGGUGUAGCGGUGAAAUGCGCAGAUAUCAGGAGGAACACCGGUGGCGAAGGCGGGUCUCUGGGCCGAUACUGACGCUGAGGUGCGAAAGCGUGGGGAGCAAGCAGG
rnacentral:rRNA from 1 species